GCCAGGUGCGGUGGUGCACACCUGUAGUCCCAGCUACUCGGGAGGCUGAGGUGGGAGGAUCCCUUGAGCCCAGGAAGUUGAGGCUGCAGUGAGCCAUGAUCGUGCCACUCCACUGCAGCCUGGGCAACAGAGAGAGACCCUGUCUCAA
rnacentral:SRP_RNA from 1 species